rnacentral:lncRNA from 1 species
CCCCUGUCACAGCCUGACCCCAUGCCCUCGGGUCCUGUCACUGGAUAGCACUACAGAGAACAGAUCGGCGCCUGCCCCUCCACUGCCCCUCGUGAGGAAGCUGCAGGCCGCCAUGAGGCCUCCCCUCAGCCUCCUCUUUCCAGCCUGAACACGCCCAGUGCCCUCAGCUGCUCCUCCUACAGCUUCCCCUCUAGGCCCUUCACUGUCUUAGUUGCCCAGUAAGCUGGAUUUGUGUUAGUGGUGUGGCUGAUGGGCUAGGAAAGCUGCUCUUCUGACACAUUGUGCGGGUCAGAUAGGCUUAGGCAGGGGGUUGAAACCGAAGCAGUGGCAAUAGUGUUAACCUUAGUGAAGAAACUGCUCAGCGAACCUGAGUCCAAGCUCAGUCUUGUACUUCGCAGUACUGUUCUUUAUUUGGCCAUGCCUUGGCAGCCCUGCGAGCACAGAUAUUGACCUCCACUACUGAGAAAGCAAGAAAAUAUUUUGGCAUUCCUUACAUAGAGAUGGCUGAAGGACUUUGUACUCAGGAUUUUUCAAGACAUGUGGUGUAUCAUGCUCCCUGGCUCCUUGUGGGACCAGCCUGGUUUUCUGCUUUCCUCUGUUGGCAAAGGAUGGUGAAGGCAGAAAACUCCUUCUGCUGUCUUGGGAGAUGUCAACUCUGGACCUCUAAGCGGUUGAUGCCUGCCAAUGCUGACUGGUCAGGUGAGAUUCCUCAGUGCAAGUACGCAGUGGGAGCUUUGGCUCCGCACCAGAAAGGAGGCAGAAGAAUGAAGGAAUGCUCUCCUGGCUCCCCUCCAGGUAGCAGGGAAGGCGACGAGGACUGUCCAUUGUAUGAGACAAACUGUAAUUUCAGUCCAUGCAGAUGGAGGAGAAAUGCAAUUUGUACAGAACAGGCAGGUAAUGUUCUUCCCUCAAACACUAUUUCAUGA